GAUGAACGCUGACAGAAUGCUUAACACAUGCAAGUCUUUGGCGAAGCUGUGCUUGCACCGCCUAGCCAAGGCGGACGGGUGAGUAACGCGUAAGGAACUUGCCCUGCAGUCAGGGAUAACAGACGGAAACGACUGAUAAGACCUGGUAAAGUCAGGCGGACUCAUGUCCAGCCUGAUGAAAAGAGAUGCUGCAGGAGAGCCUUGCGUCCUAUUAGCUUGUUGGUGGGGUAACGGCCCACCAAGGCGAUGAUAGGUAGCCGGCCUGAGAGGGUGGACGGCCACAAGGGGACUGAGAUACGGCCCUUACUCCUAUGGGAGGCAGCAGUGGGGAAUAUUGGACAAUGGGGGCAACCCUGAUCCAGCAAUUCUGUGUGCACGAUGAAGGUUUUCGGAUUGUAAAGUGCUUUCAGCAGGGAAGAAAAAAAUGACGGUACCUGCAGAAGAAGCGACGGCUAAAUACGUG
rnacentral:rRNA from 1 species